rnacentral:rRNA from 1 species
UGGACCGGACCUUGGCAUCUUGAAAUAUUCUUGGAAGAUUCGUAGUUAGCGGUUAAAGGUCAAUCAAACAUGAAUAUGGACGGUUCUCUAUGAAAUCUAUUUGGAAGAAUCA